AAACAAAAGCGUAGCUUUUACUUUAGAAUUACAGCCACGAGAUGCUGAUAAAAAUUCACUGAUUCACACAAACAAUAAAAAGAAACGGUUGGAUGCAAACAGUGGCUUUUAUCUCUGUAGAAAAGUAGCAGCAGACAAAGCGGGCAGAAAAGAAAGCAGAGAGAGAAUUUAGGAACCUGAUAUUAAGAAUUGCAGGUCCACCUUUAGGCUCCGAUUUUCCCCAAUUUGUGAUUCAUGAUCCUUCUGCCUGAGGGCUCCCUCCCUACUGGGGGACAAUUCUCUGCCAACCCUCCAGGUCCCUCCUGCCUGGCUACGACCCAACCAAACCCAUGGGCAAUGCUGGGACCCACAGGGAGGAAGUAGGGGCGGCACAUGUGUGCCCUGGGCUCUGAAGCUGCCCCCACAGGCCCUGGAAUCCUCCCGCGUCCCAACACAGCCCCCUCUUCAGUCAGGGCUCCCAGAGUCCCCAUUCCUAGGCCUGGGGGGCUGCUUUGGGAGCCCAACAUGAGCGACCGGGCCUCUGACCUGCACCAGGAGACACGGGGAGGUUUCGCCUCCAAACCCAGCAGGAAAUAGAAACUUACAAGAAAUACAUGCUUCUGAGAAACAGAAACUACACGGGGAAAAAAGAACCGCUGAGCGCCCUCCCAGCAUCUGAAUACCACAGCCGCCCCUGACUCCACACGGAAAACAACACUUCUCAACCCUUCACUCACUACUUCCUUCUCCAAAGCCAGAAGAUGCUCAAAGAGGAGCACGAAGUGGAGGUGCUGGGGGGGCCCCAGAGCAGCACGCUCCCCACGUCCACCGUGAUCCACAUCCGAAGUGAGUCCUCCGUGCCAGACCAUGUCGUCUGGUCCCUGUUCAACAC